UCGCCUACAUGAAGUCGGAAUCGCUAGUAAUCGCGGAUCAGCAUGCCGCGGUGAAUACGUUCCCGGGCCUUGUACACACCGCCCGUCACACCAUGAGAGUUUGUAACACCCAAAGCCGGUGGGGUAACCUUUUGGAGCCAGCCGUCUAAGGUGGGACAGAUGAUUGGGGUGAAGUCGUAACAAGGUAUC
rnacentral:rRNA from 1 species